AAAGGGAGACCUAAUUCAGGUAAAAGACGAAAAAAAGUAGUCGCUACCAAGAAUCAAUCCCAAAAGGUCGGAGCGAGGCGAAAUUGGCUUUCAAACUAGGUUCUGGGUUCAAACAAGACCUGAAUCAGGAACAAGGGCUAUUAGCUCAGGUGGUUAGAGCGCACCCCUGAUAAGGGUGAGGUCCCUGGUUCGAGUCCAGGAUGGCCCACCUGCACAGGUGGCAAAAACAAGAGAAGCUCCGAAUCAGCACCUUAUCUUACUGACAUAGUAAGAGAGAAUGCUGGCUCUGAGUAAAGAGUCCAGAGGAACCUUGAAAACUGCAUAGAGCUAGGUGAAAAAGCCAAAAAAGAAGACCGCAAG
rnacentral:tRNA from 1 species